rnacentral:rRNA from 1 species
UACGUAGGUCCCGAGCGUUGUCCGGAUUUAUUGGGCGUAAAGCGAGCGCAGGUGGUUUAUUAAGUCUGGUGUAAAAGGCAGUGGCUCAACCAUUGUAUGCAUUGGAAACUGGUAGACUUGAGUGCAGGAGAGGAGAGUGGAAUUCCAUGUGUAGCGGUGAAAUGCAUAGAUAUCACGCAGAACUCCGAUUGCGAGGGCAGCAUACCGGCGCCCUACUGACGCUGAGGCACGAAAGCGUGGGUAUCGAACAGG